GACGAAGGGGGCUAGCGUUGUUCGGAAUUACUGGGCGUAAAGCGAGUGUAGGUGGUUGUCCAAGUUGGAUGUGAAAGCCUUGAGCUCAACUCAAGAAAUGCAUUCAGGACUGGGCGGCUAGAGGACCGGAGAGGAUAGUGGAAUUCCCAGUGUAGUGGUGAAAUACGUAGAGAUUGGGAAGAACACCAGUGGCGAAGGCGGCUAUCUGGACGGUUUCUGACACUAAGACUCGAAAGCAUGGGGAGCAAACAGG
rnacentral:rRNA from 1 species